AGUGAACGCUGGCGGUAGGCCUAACACAUGCAGGUCGAACGGCAGCACAGGAGAGCUUGCUCUCUGGGUGGCGAGUGGCGGACGGGUGAGGAAUACAUCGGAAUCUACUUUUUCGUGGGGGAUAACGUAGGGAAACUUACGCUAAUACCGCAUACGACCUACGGGUGAAAGCAGGGGACCUUCGGGCCUUGCGCGAUUGAAUGAGCCGAUGUCGGAUUAGCUAGUUGGCGGGGUAAAGGCCCACCAAGGCGACGAUCCGUAGCUGGUCUGAGAGGAUGAUCAGCAACACUGGAACUGAGACACGGUCCAGACUCCUACGGGAGGCAGCAGUGGGGAAUAUUGGACAAUGGGCGCAAGCCUGAUCCAGCCAUACCGCGUGGGUGAAGAAGGCCUUCGGGUUGUAAAGCCCUUUUGUUGGGAAAGAAAUCCAGCUGGCUAAUACCCGGUUGGGAUGACGGUACCCAAAGAAUAAGCACCGGCUAACUUCGUGCCAGCAGCCGCCGUCA
rnacentral:rRNA from 1 species